rnacentral:rRNA from 1 species
UACGGAGGGGGUUAGCGUUGUUCGGAAUUACUGGGCGUAAAGCGCGCGUAGGCGGACAUUUAAGUCAGGGGUGAAAUCCCGGGGCUCAACCCCGGAACUGCCCUUGAUACUGGGUGUCUUGAGUUCGAGAGAGGUGAGUGGAAUUCCGAGUGUAGAGGUGAAAUUCGUAGAUAUUCGGAGGAACACCAGUGGCGAAGGCGGCUCACUGGCUCGAUACUGACGCUGAGGUGCGAAAGUGUGGGGAGCAAACAGG